GGAAUCACAACACACUGCAACAUCAAACUCCUGGUCUCAAGCAAUCUGCCCACCUCAGCCUCCCAAAUCUCCAGGAUUACAGCUACUGGAGAUAUCUAAGUUUUCAUAAGAGAUCAUCAGAAGAAAAUGAAGAUCCAGGCUCUCUUUCAGCUGAGAAAACGCAUCCACAAAAUUCCAAAGAAUACCUGGUGAGAUUAAAGAAAAUGUUUCUCAAGCACGAAAAGUGUAAGAAUUGACAUAGUAAAUAUGCAGGCACUCAUUGAUCACUUAAGAAAUAAAAAUUGAAAAAUAAUGCCAUGAAA
rnacentral:lncRNA from 10 species